GAGCCCUCCGCCAGGCAACUUGUUGACGUUUUUUUACCUUUCAACGUUUUUACGUGGUGUUUUUAGAUCAUAAUUGUCACAUUUUUAACAUGAUCGUUUUCACGUUUUACAUAAUAAAUAUCACGUUUUUAACUUGAUAAUUUCAUAAUUCAAACAUUUUAUUACCAAAGCAACGAACAAGCAUAAUAAAUUAAAAUGGACAUAUUUGUACAAUUCCAAUAGAAAAAUACACAAUUCUAAUCUCAGGUGCACAAAUUCUCA